CGUGGGGUAACCUGCCCAAGAGAUCGGGAUAACACCUGGAAACAGAUGCUAAUACCGGAUAACAACAGAUGAUGCCUAUCAACUGUUUAAAAGAUGGUUCUGCUAUCACUCUUGGAUGGACCUGCGGUGCAUUAGCUAGUUGGUAGGGUAACGGCCUACCAAGGCGAUGAUGCAUAGCCGAGUUGAGAGACUGAUCGGCCACAUUGGGACUGAGACACCGGACCCAAACUCCGUACGGGGAGGCAGCAGUU
rnacentral:rRNA from 1 species